GGAUUGUGGUUCAGUGGUAGAGCACUUGCCUCCCAUGCUUGGGGCACUGGGUUCGAUCCUCAGCACCA
rnacentral:tRNA from 1 species